CGAUUGCAUAAACAUUGGCACAGCACAGCACACUGCGACUGCAGUCAGUCAAGUACGAUCACAACCAGCUAUGAGUGCAUUUACUUUGGCCAUUUUCAAGCCACAUUUGCUGAAAAAUCCGGUGGCCUACGGUGCCCUGGAGAAGCUCAUCGAAACGAGUGGCAUACGGAUAGUGACGAGAAAGCGGUUGCAGCUUACCGAACCGCAGGCGAAACAGUUCUACCGGGAUCAUGAGGGAAAAUUUUUCCACCGAAGGCUGAUUGCGUUAAUGACCAGUGGACCACUGGAGGUGCUAAUCCUGACCGGGGAGAAUGUGAUUACCCGUUGGAGGGAGCUGAUGGGACCGACGAAGGUGUUGAAAGCUGUCUACUCGCAUCCGAACUGUGUGCGAAGUUUGUUUGGGCUUUCCGAUACGAGGAAUGCCAGUCACGGAUCAGCCGUUUUCUGCGAUUAAAACCCGUCUGGAACACAAACACGAGUUCGCGAGAUCAGUGAUUUACUCCGGCACCACCAAAGCAGGAUUCGGUGGCCUCUUUUCAGACCGAGGCGGCGAUAUUCUUCCCGGAUCUGAAGCUUUUAUCGGAUGACAACGGCAAGACAAAAUCGUAGUUUUUAGCGCCACCAAAAAUUAGAUAGCGUAAGAAAAAAGUUGGUAAACUCUUUGCGGCUUAGUCACUACCAAGGUAUGUAUUUUUUCUGUCUCUUCAUCCGGCGUUGUUGAUAUGACGAUGAACAAUAAAAAAGCAAUAUUGAAUCAUA